rnacentral:misc_RNA from 1 species
UAUGAAGAACGCAGCGAAAUGCGAUAAGUAGUGUGAAUUGCAGAAUUCAGUGAAUCAUCGAAUCUUUGAACGCACAUUGCGCCCCUUGGUAUUCCAUGGGGCAUGCCUGUUCGAGCGUCAUCUACACCCUCAAGCUCUGCUUGGUGUUGGGCGUCUGUCCCGCCUUUGCGCGUGGACUCGCCCCAAAUUCAUUGGCAGCGGUCCUUGCCUCCUCUCGCGCAGCACAUUUGCGCUUCUCGAGGUGCGCGGGCCGCGUCCACGAAGCAACUAUUACCGUCUUUGACCUCGGAUCAGGUAGGGAUACCCGCUGAACUUAAGCAUAUCAAUAAGCGGAGGA